CCUACGGGAGGCAGCAGUGAGGAAUAUUGGACAAUGGGCGCAAGCCUGAUCCAGCCAUGCCGCGUGCAGGAUGACGGUCCUAUGGAUUGUAAACUGCUUUUAUACGAGAAGAAACACUCCGACGUGUCGGAGCUUGACGGUAUCGUAAGAAUAAGGAUCGGCUAACUCCGUGCCAGCAGCCGCGGUAAUACGGAGGAUCCAAGCGUUAUCCGGAAUCAUUGGGUUUAAAGGGUCCGUAGGCGGUUUAAUAAGUCAGUGGUGAAAGCCCAUCGCUCAACGGUGGAACGGCCAUUGAUACUGUUAAACUUGAAUUAUUAGGAAGUAACUAGAAUAUGUAGUGUAGCGGUGAAAUGCUUAGAGAUUACAUGGAAUACCAAUUGCGAAGGCAGGUUACUACUAAUUGAUUGACGCUGAUGGACGAAAGCGUGGGUAGCGAACAGGAUUAGAUACCCUGGUAGUCCACGCCGUAAACGAUGGAUACUAGCUGUUGGGAGCAAUCUCNGUGNGUAGACGAAGUAGAUAGUAUCCACCGUCGGGUAGGUACGUUCGCGAGAAGUAGAACGUAACGAAAGGUAAAGUUAGUACGGACGUGAGACGUACGACCGACGGACGACCGACGGAGGGGAGGAGG
rnacentral:rRNA from 1 species